ACACAAUAAGCUAUACCCUCAUACUGUACUGUACCCAGAAUCCCCUUAGAACCAGAGUUGGCAGAGAAUGGUGUGAGUUGUAGUUCUACAGGGGGGAGGGGUUCGGGUUUGAUUCAAACAAGGGGCAGAGGCAUCGGAAGACAAUAAGCAAAGCGGUGACACUGAGAAUUAAUAGACAAGGGGUCCCAUGAUGCAGGAGGAAGAUGUUCCUAUCGCCCCGCCCACUCAUUCAGGCAGAAGAACUCGUCCAGAUCCACAGGGAAGCCACUCGCUGACAGAAACCCUACACGUGACACUGUCCCUCCCGCUCAUGCUAAUGCACUCAGCCUCGGGCUUACUUCUUUCCUUACCGAUCCCGUGUGGCGGCGGCGAAGCCCUGCAGUCCCUGUUUCUUUGUCCACGCACGCCACUACUUCCGGCCGGUAAACUUCCGCUUCCGGAGCAAAAGAAACAAAAUCUCCCGCCCAGUGGGGACCUGACGAGUGACGACUAGCCGCGGAGAGGCACGUCACGCGCAGAGGGUGGAGCUGACCUGGGGCGCAUGCUCACAUUGGAUUGCGUCGCUGGCGGCCUCUAGUGGUGGGAGUGGUGGAAUGCAGCGCAACAUUGCGAUUAAGGAUACGCUCUUUGGACGUGUGAUCCGUAACCCUCGCAUCACCAGGAGGACCUUCUAAUAAGUGAACUAUGCACCCGAAGGAGAUCGAGUUGAGAUGUUGAGAUGCAAAGGAUUGGAUAUAUUGUGAAAAGAGAUAUAACCCUUGCUGUUCCGUUAUGAAUAUAAAGGUAACAAGAGGCAGUAUAUCAUUGGCUAGUUCUGCACAGUAACGGUCUCUCUGUGGCCUCCCCUUGUUCUGAAAGGGCCCCUGGAAACAAGCGAACUGAUGCUAAUGUACUGCCCACAGGCCCUAAACUCCACCAGUGCACUAUUCAUAUCCGCCAACAAUUCAAUUUAACUACAAUUUAGAAAAUUAAAGCACAGAUCUGAUUGGUGGCUGUGGGUAACGGCCCCUAUAUUAGUAAAUUAGCCCUACUUUAUUAUGAGGAAAAACAAGCCACAAAAAAACUUUUAAAGGUAAGUCAAGCCAAAAGUAGAAAUUUGCAUAGUAAACAAAAACAUAAUUCUAAGCAACUUUUCCAAUAUACAUGGAUUAAAAUUUUUUUAAUUGUAAAAACAAUUGCUAUUGAAAGCAGCAUUUGCUUAACUCCAGAACAUUUGUAGUGCAUGUACAUUGCAAAGUUCCUUAGAAUUAUGGUUUCUUUUAUUAGGCACAUUUUUAUUUUGGGGUUGACUUGCUAUUUAUCGUAUAGUUACUAGAUUUCAUUGAUUCAAUAAUGCGGAAUCCAUAAAUCCCCUUGUUCUGCCUUCUCCACCAUUGCAACUGCCAACUGGCUCUGGCUGAUAGAGGCUGCUGGGAAUUGUUAUCGUACUGUGACCCAUUGACUUAUCCAUUUUGGGAAUGAAAGUCAAUUUUAAUCUGUAAAAUCAUAAUUUUCCGUUGUCAUAAUUUUUCCUCGUUCUGCUCUUUCCUACUCCCCUGUUCUUUUCCUCAUCCAUUUUCUUUAUUUAAUCAUUAUUACUUCAGUUUAAAAUUUUUAUAUAACACUUCAUUGCUCUGCUAUCACUCUGCUUUUCCUUGUUCCACCCUUGCCUUUCCUUGUUCUCCAAACAUUAUGCCACAUUGGGGACACGCUCAAAUUCAGAGAUUAGUCGCCCGGCGACAAAUCUCCUCUUCUUCAGGGAAAAUAAUCUCUCCGAACUGCCUCCCGCUGGCUAGAAUGUAAAUUGCCGGCUGGAUGGCACUCGGAGUACUUC